AAUGAGGUGCCUGAUAAAAGGAUUAUUUUGAUAGAAUAAAUCAUGUAAAUUUUUACCCUCAUUA
rnacentral:tRNA from 1 species